GAUGAAGAACGUAGCGAAAUGCGAUAAGUAAUGUGAAUUGCAGAAUUCAGUGAAUCAUCGAAUCUUUGAACGCACCUUGCGCUCUUUGGUAUUCCGAAGAGCAUGCCUGUUUGAGUGUCAUGAAAAUAUCAACCUUGACUUGGGUUUUGUGCUCUAGUCUCGGCUUGGAAUUGGGUGCUUGCCGCUUUUACGAGCGGCUCACCUUAAAUGUAUUAGCUGGAUCUGUCUUUGAGACUUGGUUUGACUUGGCGUAAUAAGUAUUUCGCUAAGGACAUUCUUCGGAGUGGCCUCGUUUCUAGGACGCUUGUCCGCUUUCCAAUACAAGUUCCACCUCGUGGACAUGACUUUUUAUUAUCUGGCCUCAAAUCAGGUAGGACUACCCGCUGAACUUAAGCACAUCAAUAAGCGGAGGA
rnacentral:misc_RNA from 1 species